CAGUAGCCGCGGGAAUACAGAGGGUGCGAGCGUUAAUCGGAUUUACUGGGCGUAAAGCGUGCGUAGGCGGCUUCUUAAGUCGGAUGUGAAAUCCCUGAACUUAACUUAGGAAUUGCAUUCGAUACUGGGAAGCUAGAGUAUGGGAGAGGAUGGUAGAAUUCCAGGUGUAGCGGUGAAAUGCGUAGAGAUCUGGAGGAAUACCGAUGGCGAAGGCAGCCAUCUGGCCUAAUACUGACGCUGAGGUACGAAAGCAUGGGGAGCAAACAGGAUUAGAUACCCCUGUAGUCCCUGUCUCUUAUAA
rnacentral:rRNA from 1 species